AUUGAACGCUGGCGGAAUGCUUUACACAUGCAAGUCGAACGGCAGCACGGGGGCAACCCUGGUGGCGAGCGGCGAACGGGUGAGUAAUACAUCGGAACGUGCCCAAUCGUGGGGGAUAACGUAGCGAAAGCUACGCUAAUACCGCAUACGAUCUACGGAUGAAAGCGGGGGAUCGCAAGACCUCGCGCGAAUGGAGCGGCCGAUGGCAGAUUAGGUAGUUGGUGGGGUAAAGGCUCACCAAGCCGACGAUCUGUAGCUGGUCUGAGAGGAUGAUCAGCCACACUGGGACUGAGACACGGCCCAGACUCCUACGGAGGCAGCAGUGGGGAAUAUUGGACAAUGGGCGAAAGCCUGAUCCAGCAAUGCCGCGUGAGUGAUGAAGGCCUUAGGGUUGUAAAGCUCUUUUACCCGGGAUGAUAAUGACAGUACCGGGAGAAUAAGCCCCGGCUAACUCCGUGCCAGCAGCCGCGGUAAU
rnacentral:rRNA from 1 species